UGAGCCGCGGCGCGGCGGCCGCGGCGAACCGCCCGGAGCGGGCGGCCCGGGAUCCGCCGGUUCAGGAUCCGCCGGUUCAGGAUCCGCCGGUUCAG
rnacentral:tRNA from 1 species